rnacentral:tRNA from 2 species
AAAAAGGUAAGCUAACAAAAGCUUUUAGGUUCAUACCCUGCGAAUGAAAGUAAAAUCUUUCCCUUUUUA